ACGUCCGUCGUGAAGAGGGAAACAACCCAGACCGCCAGCUAAGGUCCCAAAGUCAUGGUUAAGUGGGAAACGAUGUGGGAAGGCCCAGACAGCCAGGAUGUUGGCUUAGAAGCAGCCAUCAUUUAAAGAAAGCGUAAUAGCUCACUGGUCGAGUCGGCCUGCGCGGAAGAUGUAACGGGGCUCAAACUAGGCACCGAAGCCGCGGAUCCACGCUAUGCGUGGGUGGUAGGGGAGCGUUCUGUAAGUCUGUGAAGGUGUGUCGUGAGGCAUGCUGGAGAUAUCAGAAGUGCGAAUGCUGACGUAAGUAACGAUAAAGGGGGUGAAAAACCUCCUCGCCGGAAGACCAAGGGUUCCUGUCCAACGUUAAUCGGGGCAGGGUGAGUCGACCCCUAAGGCGAGGCCGAAAGGCGUAGUCGAUGGGAAACAGGUUAAUAUUCCUGUACUUGGUGUUACUGCGAAGGGGGGACGGAGAAGGCUAUGUUAGCCGGGCGACGGUUGUCCCGGUUUAAGCAUGUAGGCGGAGGUUCCAGGUAAAUCCGGUACCUUAUUAACGCUGAGGUGUGAUGACGAGGCACUACGGUGCUGAAGUAACAAAUGCCCUGCUUCCAGGAAAAGCCUCUAAGCAUCAGGUAACAUCAAAUCGUACCCCAAACCGACACAGGUGGUCAGGUAGAGAAUACCAAGGCGCUUGAGAGAACUCGGGUGAAGGAACUAGGCAAAAUGGUGCCGUAACUUCGGGAGAAGGCACGCUGAUAUGUAGGUGAAGCCCCUGCGGGUGGAGCUGAAAUCAGUCGAAGAUACCAGCUGGCUGCAACUGUUUAUUAAAAACACAGCACUGUGCAAACACGAAAGUGGACGUAUACGGUGUGACGCCUGCCCGGUGCCGGAAGGUUAAUUGAUGGGGUUAGCGCAAGCGAAGCUCUUGAUCGAAGCCCCGGUAAACGGCGGCCGUAACUAUAACGGUCCUAAGGUAGCGAAAUUCCUUGUCGGGUAAGUUCCGACCUGCACGAAUGGCGUAAUGAUGGCCAGGCUGUCUCCACCCGAGACUCAGUGAAAUUGAACUCGCUGUGAAGAUGCAGUGUACCCGCGGCAAGACGGAAAGACCCCGUGAACCUUUACUAUAGCUUGACACUGAACACUGGUCCUUGAUGUGUAGGAUAGGUGGGAGGCUUUGAAGCGUGGACGCCAGUCUGCGUGGAGCCGACCUUGAAAUACCACCCUUUAAUGGCUGGUGUUCUAACGUAGACCCGUAAUCCGGGUUGCGGACAGUGUCUGGUGGGUAGUUUGACUGGGGCGGUCUCCUCC
rnacentral:rRNA from 1 species